rnacentral:rRNA from 1 species
UACAGAGGGGGCAAGCGUUGUUCGGAAUUACUGGGCGUAAAGGGCGCGUAGGCGGCCUGUUAAGUCGGACGUGAAAUCCCCGGGCUCAACCCGGGAACUGCGUCCGAUACUGGCAGGCUUGAAUCCGGGAGAGGGAUGUGGAAUUCCAGGUGUAGCGGUGAAAUGCGUAGAUAUCUGGAGGAACACCGGUGGCGAAAGCGGCGCACUGGACCAUAACUGACGCUGAUGCGCGAAAGCUAGGGGAGCAAACAGG